rnacentral:rRNA from 1 species
AGAGUGAACGCUGGCGGCAGGCCUAACACAUGCAAGUCGAGCGGCAGCGCGGGUAGCAAUACCUGGCGGCGAGCGGCGGACGGGUGAGGAAUACAUCGGAAUCUGCCUUGUUGUGGGGGAUAACGUAGGGAAACUUACGCUAAUACCGCAUAAGACCGUAAGGUGAAAGCGGGGGAUCGAAAGACCUCGCGCGACAAGAUGAGCCGAUGUCGGAUUAGCUAGUUGGUGAGGUAAUGGCUCACCAAGGCGACGAUCCGUAGC